rnacentral:rRNA from 1 species
UACCCGCAGCCCAAGUGGUGGUCGCGAUUAUUGGGCCUAAAGCGCUCGUAGCCGGGCCUGUAAGUCCCUUGUGAAAUCGGGCGGCCUAACCGUUCGGCGUGCAAGGGAAACUGCAGGUCUUGAGGCCGGAAGACGCCGAGGGUACUCUGGGGGUAGCGGUGAAAUGCUGUAAUCCUCGGGGGACCACCAGUGGCGAAGGCGUUCGGCGAGAACGGACCUGACGGUGAGGGGCGAAGGCUAGGGGA